CGUGCUCCGGGAAUGGCGGUCGAGUUGCGCUAGGGCUUCUGAAUGGCGCCGGAUCACACUUCGGCGUCCUCGUCCUCCAGCUACGACCCGCAAUCGCUCCAGGAUUUGCAGAGAAUGAGGGUCGAUGAUCUCAUCUCGUGGCUGUCCGAGAACAAGGCGGAUGGUCUUCCACCCAGGGCGAGGCCGAAGGAUGAGAGUUCUCAGCAGUACGAAGGGGUCUCUCCAGCAUCUCUCAAAGAUGAAAAGCCACAGCUACCGGCGAAAGUUUCCCCAAGAAAGCCACUCAAGCGACCACCCUUGCUCUGGAAGACCCGUCGAAACAAAGCAAAGAAUGGUGGCAUUGGUAGCGGUGGCCCGUUUUUGCUGAGCUCGGACUUGAUCGAGAGGAAUGCUGCGAGGUUUAACUCGUUUGACGAGGAGAUUGAAAGGCAGAAGUGCUCCCUGGAGAAUCACUACUGCACGUAUGAUGCUAUUCGCGAGGAUAUCGUCAACGACACGAGAAGUAUGGAGCUGUGGAGGGGCAUGAUGGAGGAAGUCCAGGACUCGGAGCCCGAGUUUAUCGAGCGGAAGUUCCCGGAUUUCCCUCCGAGUACCAGCAAUCUGGAGGACCUUUGCGAAGACGAGGAUGAAGAUGACUCGACGGGAUGCAAGUUUUUUUCCUUGAGGUUGGCACAGAACAAGUAAUCUCGAUCUGGUGGUGGUAGAGGAUUAGCAUAGGCUCGGGGGGAAAAAGAAAAGGACCAGCCAGGGACAGGGACGGAAGCCAUUGACAGGAGGAAAAAACCAACGAAAGAAAAAAAUUUGCUGGAGAAAACAGCAAAGCACAGUGGCUAUAGAAGUAUGACAGGAGUUUCUGGUGGUUUUUGUUUUACAGAAGCAAGCCAAAGAGUUUUAUGUCAAGAUGGCUGAGGCGCUUUUGGUAGAGAGGCAGUCUAGACACGAGCGUGGAAGGCUGCGAAUGCUUGGCAUUGUCUCCAGGUGACAAAAGGAAUGAGGUCGCUCUGGUGCUCCUGCUCGCCACCAAGAACGGCUGAUGAUUUGCCGAAGCGGAGGAGACCAUCGUCGGCUCCAGCUUCUACCUCUGGAUCACCAAGCCCAC